ACAUUUUCAGCUCAGGGAAGAUGACAUGAUCAGUGCAGUGCCUCUCCCAGGACGAGGCUAUUCCUUUGCACUUCGGGUGUGCUGACGCCUGCGAUGUCCCCAAAUGCGGGAUACACGACUGCAACAUUUGUGGUAGUGGGAGACUGCGUUUGCGUUCUCCCCCG